GACGAACCGUGCGAACGUUGUUCGGAAUCACUGGGCUUAAAGGGUGCGUAGGCGGGCUCGUUAGUCGGGGGUGAAAUCCCACGGCCCAACCGUGGAAGUGCCUCCGAUACUGCGAGUCUAGAGGGGAACAGGGGCAUGCGGAACUUCCGGUGGAGCGGUGAAAUGCGUAGAUAUCGGAAGGAACACCGGUGGCGAAAGCGGCGUGCUGGAUUCCUACUGACGCUGAGGCACGAAAGCCAGGGGAGCAAACGGG
rnacentral:rRNA from 1 species